GCAUGGAAGGAAGGACUGUGUCUGUGAGGGAUGAUCAUCCUCUCAUGUGAUCCUUGGAGAUGCCAGGAAGCCCCUUGACACAUGUGGCAUGGGCUCCUUCAGAGGCUUUUGGAUCCGUCGUGAAUGUGGCAUGGGCAUGCAAAGAAAGACAGAGGCUGCAAGGGAUAAACUUCAUCUUGGGAGAUCCCUGGAGAUGGCAGGGAACCCAUGGACACAUGUGGCAUGGGCUCCUUUGGGUGCCGGUGGAUCCCUUCAUACGGUAAAGCCAGAGUUGGGUAUCAACCAGAUACACUGCAGGGGAUCAGAGGACAUGGCCUUUGUGUACUGCACAUCUGUCAGAUUUUCUCAAGCACACCCGUGUUUCCUCUUCACCUCCCACGUGGAAGUGAUGAAUUGGCCAGGACCAUGUUGGUGAGGGACAAUCAUCAUCUCAUGUUAACCUCAGAGAAGCCAGGAAGCUCCUGGACACACAUGGUGUAGGCUUCCUUGGAGGCUGUUGGAUCUCUCCUGAAUGUGGUGUGGGCAUGGAAGGAAGGCCAGUGGAGACAAUGGAUGAUCUUGUUCUUAGCAGAUCACUGGAUGUGGCAGGGAGUCCUAGGACAUGUGUGGUGUGGGCUUCUUCAGGUGCUGGUGGUGUUGGCAUGAGGAAAGGAGGUAUCUUCGAGGGACAAUCUUCUUCUUGUGCGAUCCUUGG
rnacentral:lncRNA from 1 species